rnacentral:rRNA from 1 species
AUGGUAGGAGCUUUCAUAACUAUUAGUUCAAUGAUCAUCGUGGCUGAUUGGAAUAUAGCAUUGAAAAAAGAUCAGCCUUUUGCUUUUAUUGUUUUCUGUUUAAGCAACCAAGAGCUGAAAACUAUGGUAUUGAAGCAUUCACGAGAAAUGGAUUCAAAUCUUGGAAGGAUGGACCUAAAGUUUUUAAUCAACAUGUUGGCAAGCAUGAUAGUGCUCAUAAUAAAUCUAGGCAACAUUAUGAGGAUUUCAAAAAUCAAAGACAAAAUCUGCCACAUGUCUUUGAUAGGGGUUCUCAGAAGCAAGAAGAAGAAUACAAAGCCCGUCUCUUGA